GUCAGUUUUAAUGUAAUUUUUCAAUAUAUAAAGUUAAAAUAAAAAGUUUUAUAUUAAUCCUAAUCUCACUUGUACAUAAUUUUUAUGAACCCCCUUCAAAAAUGUAUAAACGAGGUUUUACUAUACUUCUAGCUGCUAUUCCGACAUAGAGAUUUUCAGAAAGAUUAAUAACUCUGAUGAAGCAAUGUUGACUUCAUUCCAAGAUGAUCAAAGAUUUAAUAAAGUACCAGAUGAUGCAUCUAAACAAAUCAUUUAGAAAAGUUGCACAUAUUUUGGAUAAAAAACUGACAAUUAGACCCAAUGAUCUAUAUCUGUGGUCUUCAAACUGUGUUCCAUGGAAUCCUGGGGUUCUAAAAAAUGUCCUAAAGGGUUCCAUAAACACACAAAAUAUUAAUCAAAAUUAUG
rnacentral:lncRNA from 1 species